rnacentral:rRNA from 1 species
GNCNGUAUAAAUUUUAUAUCUUGAAACUGCGAACGGCUCAUUAAAUCAGUUAUAAUCUACUUGAUUGUAAAAUCUACAUGGAUAACUGUAGUAAUUCUAGAGCUAAUACAUGCAAAAAAUCCUGACUGUUAUAGAAAGGAUGUAUUUAUUAGGUACAAAAUCAAUGCUGGCACUUGUGUCAGGUUAAUUGAUGAUUCAUAAUAACUAAACGAAGCGCACGACCUUGAGUUGGCGCUGAUACAAACGAGUUUCUGCCCUAUCAACUUUCGAUGGUAGUAUAGAGGACUACCAUGGUUUCAACGGGUANCGGGGAAUA